GGGGCAUCUUGGAUAAUGGGCGAAAGCCGGAUUCAGCCAUGCCGCGUGCAGGAUGAAUGCUUUCGGGUUGUAAACAGCUUUUGUACGGAACGAAAAGACUCUUUCUAAUAAAGAGGGUACAUGACGGUACCGUAAGAAUAAGCACCGGCUAACUACGUGCCAGCAGCCGCGGUAAUACGUAGGGUGCAAGCGUUAAUCGGAAUUACUGGGCGUAAAGCGUGCGCAGGCGGUUAUGUAAGACAGAUGUGAAAUCCCCGGGCUCAACCUGGGAACUGCAUUUGUGACUGCAUAGCUAGAGUACGGUAGAGGGGGAUGGAAUUCCGCGUGUAGCAGUGAAAUGCGUAGAUAUGCGGAGGAACACCGAUGGCGAAGGCAAUCCCCUGGACCUGUACUGACGCUCAUGCACGAAGGCGUGGGGAGCAAACA
rnacentral:rRNA from 1 species